CAAUAGCGUAUAUUAACGUUGUUGCAGUUAAAAAGCUCGUAGUUGGAUUUCUGGAGGGAGCGUCGGCCCGUAUUUACGAGUGCGUGACGUCUCUGUCCAUCCUUGCCGGAAGGCACGGCAUUGAUUUGUUGUGUCGGAUCGCAUCAUUUACUGUGAAAAAAUUAGAGUGUUCAAAGCAGGCUUUCGCUUGAAUACAUUAGCAUGGAAUAAUAAGAUAGGACUUUGGUGCUAUUUUGUUGGUUGAGCCUAAAGUAAUGAUUAAUAGGGAUAGUUGGGGGCACCUGUAUUGCGUUGUCAGAGGUGAAAUUCUUGGAUUUACGCAAGACAAACAGCUGCGAAAGCGUCUGCCAAGGAUGUUUUCAUUAA
rnacentral:rRNA from 1 species